GGAGCGUCGCUUAGAGAGGCGUCGUCUCCCCACCAAACGACGUGUAUUAACACACUAUGAUCGUGUGUGCAAGUGUAUACGCUAUACGUGUGAUCGUAUGUGGAUGCAUUUGGAUAUUGUAUGUGCAACAGGAACAAGAUUGAAAUUUUUCCAUUUUACUGAUUCAGCGAAUGAUUAACACAUUGCGAAAUAAUAAUUGUUCACCGAGAUAUCUAGAAAGAAUGCGAAUAAGAAGUAGAAACUUGCUAAGAAUCAUCGUUAUUUUCCUUCCAACGUAUUUCCCAACGUCUGUCUUCUUUUUAGAAACUAACAUGCAAAGCCAUAAACGGGUGAAAUGGGAAGUGGUCCGGGAAAUAAGUCAGGCUGAUUUAAUGAACAUAAAUGUGCGAGUUAGCAUAUCGGCAAAGGCUGCGCCCUGCGCAUCCGUUUUCCAAUGGCCUAAAAUCCACGCUUACUCUCUUUGUGUGUCGACGAUGAAAAUAACCCCAUCAACGUAGGAAGAGAAGCUAGGUUUACGGAUUAGAAACAUGAAAAGGAAGGCAGACUGAAAGAACGAUAGUGUUGCUAUCAAUAAGACCAAGGAAAAGAAAUUUAUUCGAUUGAAAUCGGUUCGAUCAUAGAAUCAUCUUUUUCAUCGUUCCCAAUCUUUCUCUAAUGGAUAUUAUACGAACUACAGGCAUUAUAUUUUGCCAAUAGAAAUGGCAAUUGAAGAAUAACGCUCGUUAUUCUUUUUUUAAUAUAUUUAAUAUAUUUAAUCAAAAGUGUGUCAGUAAUUUCAUUUAUCUUAAGUUAAAAAAAUUUAUGAUCAAUUUCUUACAUCAAAAAUUA